GGAGAGGUGCAGGAGUGGUUUAACUGGCACGCCUGGAAAGCGUGUGUAUCGCAAGGUACCGCGAGUUCGAAUCUCGCCCUCUCCG
rnacentral:tRNA from 1 species